ACCUGGAAUAGCUCAGUCAGUAGAGCAUGAGAAUCUCAGGGUCGUGGGUUUGAGCCCCACAUUGGGCA